UGAGCAUGGUGAGAGUUGAGGAAAAGCUGAGA
rnacentral:piRNA from 1 species